ACGGAGGGUGCAAGCGUUAUCCGGAUUCACUGGGUUUAAAGGGUGCGUAGGCGGCUUGAUAAGUCAGUGGUGAAAGCUCGCAGCUUAACUGUGAAACUGCCAUUGAAACUGUUUAGCUUGAAUCUGGUUGAAGUGGGCGGAAUGUGUCAUGUAGCGGUGAAAUGCUUAGAUAUGACACAGAACACCGAUUGCGAAGGCAGCUCACUAAACUGUAACUGACGCUGAGGCACGAAAGCGUGGGGAGCAAACGGGA
rnacentral:rRNA from 1 species